CGAUGAUACGCGAGAAACCUUACCAGGGCUUGACAUAUACAGGAAUGUUGUAGAGAUACAGCAGCCGCUUGCGGUCUGUAUACAGGUGCUGCAUGGCUGUCGUCAGCUCGUGCUGUGAAGUGUGGUUAAGUCCCGCAACGAGCGCAACCCUAUCAUCUGUUGCCAGCAUUUAAGGUGGGGACUCAGAUGAGACUGCCGGUGACAAACCGGAGGAAGGUGGGGACGACGUCAAGUCAUCAUGGCCCUUAUGUCCUGGGCUACACACGUGCUACAAUGGCCGGUACAGAGUGAAGCGAAACCGCGAGGUGAAGCAAAACGCAGAAAGCCGGUCUCAGUACGGAUUGGAGUCUGAAACUCGACUUCAUGAAGUUGGAAUCGCUAGUAAUCGCGCAUCAGCAUGGCGCGGUGAAUACGUUCCCGGGCCUU
rnacentral:rRNA from 1 species